rnacentral:rRNA from 1 species
UUAAGCGACUAAGCGUACACGGUGGAUGCCCUGGCAGUCAGAGGCGAUGAAGGACGUGCUAAUCUGCGAUAAGCGUCGGUAAGGUGAUAUGAACCGUUAUAACCGGCGAUUUCCGAAUGGGGAAACCCAGUGUGUUUCGACACACUAUCAUUAACUGAAUCCAUAGGUUAAUGAGGCGAACCGGGGGAACUGAAACAUCUAAGUACCCCGAGGAAAAGAAAUCAACCGAGAUUCCCCCAGUAGCGGCGAGCGAACGGGGAGCAGCCCAGAGCCUGAAUCAGUGUGUGUGUUAGUGGAAGCGUCUGGAAAGGCGCGCGAUACAGGGUGACAGCCCCGUACACAAAAAUGCACAUGCUGUGAGCUCGAUGAGUAGGGCGGGACACGUGGUAUCCUGUCUGAAUAUGGGGGGACCAUCCUCCAAGGCUAAAUACUCCUGACUGACCGAUAGUGAACCAGUACCGUGAGGGAAAGGCGAAAAGAACCCCGGCGAGGGGAGUGAAAAAGAACCUGAAACCGUGUACGUACAAGCAGUGGGAGCACGCUUAGGCGUGUGACUGCGUACCUUUUGUAUAAUGGGUCAGCGACUUAUAUUCUGUAGCAAGGUUAACCGAAUAGGGGAGCCGAAGGGAAACCGAGUCUUAACUGGGCGUUAAGUUGCAGGGUAUAGACCCGAAACCCGGUGAUCUAGCCAUGGGCAGGUUGAAGGUUGGGUAACACUAACUGGAGGACCGAACCGACUAAUGUUGAAAAAUUAGCGGAUGACUUGUGGCUGGGGGUGAAAGGCCAAUCAAACCGGGAGAUAGCUGGUUCUCCCCGAAAGCUAUUUAGGUAGCGCCUCGUGAAUUCAUCUCCGGGGGUAGAGCACUGUUUCGGCAAGGGGUCAUCCCGACUUACCAACCCGAUGCAAACUGCGAAUACCGGAGAAUGUUAUCACGGGAGACACACGGCGGGUGCUAACGUCCGUCGUGAAGAGGGAAACAACCCAGACCGCCAGCUAAGGUCCCAAAGUCAUGGUUAAGUGGGAAACGAUGUGGGAAGGCCCAGACAGCCAGGAUGUUGGCUUAGAAGCAGCCAUCAUUUAAAGAAAGCGUAAUAGCUCACUGGUCGAGUCGGCCUGCGCGGAAGAUGUAACGGGGCUAAACCAUGCACCGAAGCUGCGGCAGCGACACUAUGUGUUGUUGGGUAGGGAGCGUUCUGUAAGCCUGUGAAGGUGUGCUGUGAGGCAUGCUGGAGGUAUCAGAAGUGCGAAUGCUGACAUAAGUAACGAUAAAGCGGGUGAAAAGCCCGCUCGCCGGAAGACCAAGGGUUCCUGUCCAACGUUAAUCGGGGCAGGGUGAGUCGACCCCUAAGGCGAGGCCGAAAGGCGUAGUCGAUGGGAAACAGGUUAAUAUUCCUGUACUUGGUGUUACUGCGAAGGGGGACGGAGAAGGCUAUGUUGGCCGGGCGACGGUUGUCCCGGUUUAAGCGUGUAGGCUGGUUUUCCAGGCAAAUCCGGAAAAUCAAGGCUGAGGCGUGAUGACGAGGCACUACGGUGCUGAAGCAACAAAUGCCCUGCUUCCAGGAAAAGCCUCUAAGCAUCAGGUAACAUCAAAUCGUACCCCAAACCGACACAGGUGGUCAGGUAGAGAAUACCAAGGCGCUUGAGAGAACUCGGGUGAAGGAACUAGGCAAAAUGGUGCCGUAACUUCGGGAGAAGGCACGCUGAUAUGUAGGUGAAGUCCCUCGCGGAUGGAGCUGAAAUCAGUCGAAGAUACCAGCUGGCUGCAACUGUUUAUUAAAAACACAGCACUGUGCAAACACGAAAGUGGACGUAUACGGUGUGACGCCUGCCCGGUGCCGGAAGGUUAAUUGAUGGGGUUAGCCGCAAGGCGAAGCUCUUGAUCGAAGCCCCGGUAAACGGCGGCCGUAACUAUAACGGUCCUAAGGUAGCGAAAUUCCUUGUCGGGUAAGUUCCGACCUGCACGAAUGGCGUAAUGAUGGCCAGGCUGUCUCCACCCGAGACUCAGUGAAAUUGAACUCGCUGUGAAGAUGCAGUGUACCCGCGGCAAGACGGAAAGACCCCGUGAACCUUUACUAUAGCUUGACACUGAACAUUGAGCCUUGAUGUGUAGGAUAGGUGGGAGGCUUAGAAGUGUGGACGCCAGUCUGCAUGGAGCCGACCUUGAAAUACCACCCUUUAAUGUUUGAUGUUCUAACGUUGACCCGUAAUCCGGGUUGCGGACAGUGUCUGGUGGGUAGUUUGACUGGGGCGGUCUCCUCCUAAAGAGUAACGGAGGAGCACGAAGGUUGGCUAAUCCUGGUCGGACAUCAGGAGGUUAGUGCAAUGGCAUAAGCCAGCUUGACUGCGAGCGUGACGGCGCGAGCAGGUGCGAAAGCAGGUCAUAGUGAUCCGGUGGUUCUGAAUGGAAGGGCCAUCGCUCAACGGAUAAAAGGUACUCCGGGGAUAACAGGCUGAUACCGCCCAAGAGUUCAUAUCGACGGCGGUGUUUGGCACCUCGAUGUCGGCUCAUCACAUCCUGGGGCUGAAGUAGGUCCCAAGGGUAUGGCUGUUCGCCAUUUAAAGUGGUACGCGAGCUGGGUUUAGAACGUCGUGAGACAGUUCGGUCCCUAUCUGCCGUGGGCGCUGGAGAACUGAGGGGGGCUGCUCCUAGUACGAGAGGACCGGAGUGGACGCAUCACUGGUGUUCGGGUUGUCAUGCCAAUGGCACUGCCCGGUAGCUAAAUGCGGAAGAGAUAAGUGCUGAAAGCAUCUAAGCACGAAACUUGCCCCGAGAUGAGUUCUCCCUGACUCCUUGAGAGUCCUGAAGGAACGUUGAAGACGACGACGUUGAUAGGCCGGGUGUGUAAGCGCAGCGAUGCGUUGAGCUAACCGGUACUAAUGAACCGUGAGGCUUAACCU